AGCGCAGGUGGUUUAUUAAGUCUGGUGUAAAAGGCAGUGGCUCAACCAUUGUAUGCAUCGGAAACUGGUAGACUUGAGUGCAGGAGAGGAGAGUGGAAUUCCAUGUGUAGCGGUGAAAUGCGUAGAUAUAUGGAGGAACACCGGUGGCGAAAGCGGCUCUCUGGCCUGUAACUGACACUGAGGCUGAAAGCGUGGGGAGCAAACA
rnacentral:rRNA from 1 species